rnacentral:rRNA from 1 species
CGGUCCUAAGGUAGCGAAAUUCCUUGUCGGGUAAGUUCCGACCUGCACGAAUGGAGUAACGACUUCCCUACUGUCUCAACCAUGAACUCGGCGAAAUUGCAGUACGAGUAAAGAUGCUCGUUACGCGCGGCAGGACGAAAAGACCCCGGGACCUUCACUAUAGCUUGGUAUUGGUGUUCGGUUCGGUUUGUGUAGGAUAGGUGGGAGACGUUGAUGCGGCCACGCUAGUGGUGGUGGAGUCGUUGGUGAAAUACCACUCUGAUUGUUCUGGUUAUCUCACUGUGGACCGUGAUCCGGUUCAAGGACAGUGCCUGAUGGGUAGUUUGACUGGGGCGGUCG